AAAUCUCUUCUUCUUCAUCCUUAAAAAUACCCAUUCUCUUUCCUUCUCUCUCUAAAUACUCCUCCCUCUCUCUCUCUCUCUCUCUCUCUCAACACUCCUCUCUCUCUCUCUUUCUCUGAUUCUGUUUGAAAAGCUUGCCGCAUUGUUCUUAUCUUGAGAAUUCCGUGAGUAUUGAAUUUAUUUCCUUAAGAUGCACGCUUAAAUUGAAGGAGACACUGUGUUUCAUGAUCAUUUUCUUUUAUGUAAAUUGGAUACUAUCAUUUUAGAAAUGGCAGGUUUUACCAAAUGUUUUGUCGCUCUGUUACUAACUUUCUUUUCUCUUUUUCUUUAGAAACUUUUGGUGCUGGUUUUUUUUUCUUUUUUCUUAUUUUUUAUAUUAGAGGCUAUUUUUCUUUCUUUUUCUUCUUAGAUUUCGUUGCGAUUGAAUUAAUCUCUUUAUUUUGAGACGAGUGUAUUGUUGCUUAAUCUGGAUCUGCUGUUACUGUUUAUCAAAAUUGUAAAUUAUUAUGACAAUAGACAACAAAGGAGGCUUUUCAUUUUUAAAAAAAUGGGUGGAAAAUCAGGAUGUAUAUUAAAGUAGAUCACUUGAUUUUGUAGUUUCCUUUUGUAACUUCAUUAACUGAUCUUUUGAGUACUGGCCUGGGUGCAGACGGCACAGAGAGACUUUACAAUUAAGAUUCUUGAUUAGAGAUUUAUAAUGAAA
rnacentral:lncRNA from 1 species